AGGAGAGACUGUUUGGAGGUGGAACAUCAUCAGCUUUAUUAACACUGUCCCAUCUCACUCCUUUAGGAUCCUAUGAAUCUCCUCUUUCAACUCCACCUUUAAAAAUAACUCCUCCUCUUCCAAAAUCUUUAAGUCUCUUCUACUCUUACAAAUUACAAUAUAUAUACUAACAAAAAUUUGCUGACUUUUAUUUGCAAAACUAGAAGUCAAGUUCUUCUAGCUUCUCUAAUUAUUAUUAGAUUCAGUACAUUGAGCUCUUCCAAAAGUUUCUGAAGAAAUAAUCAUCAUUUUAACAUUAGGUUCCGAUCCAGUAUGGGCCUCUCACAAUAUCCAGCUCCAGCAGAUGCCGGAGUACUCUGUGUAAUUCUGGUAAACACAGCCAUAUCUAUUUCCAUUGUCAAGGAGAUAGUCCGCUCGAUCCUUCAUGUUAUCGGCAUCCGUAUCGCAUCAUGGGAAGACUAUUCUAUUGAAGGAUCAUUUGAAUGUCGCGGAAGCCCAUCGGAGUCAUACAUGGAAGAGUUUAGAAGCCGAACACCUGCAUUUCGUUAUGACUCGGUCUGUAUCUCUAACCACUCGGAACAAGAAUGCUCUGUGUGCCUGACAAAAUUCGAGCCUAACGCGGAGAUAAACUGUCUCUCCUGUGGCCAUGUUUUCCAUAAGCUGUGUCUAGAGAAGUGGCUCAAGUAUUGGCAAAUAACUUGCCCUCUUUGCAGGAAACACAUGAUGUAUCACGAACAAGAGGACGAUACAUGUCCGAUGUGAGAUUAAAUUUUUAAUGAUGCCACUUCAUCCAUUUGAGGAUGUUAUUAUGUACAGCUUAGUAGUAGUGUACAGGCUGAGUAUGUGGAUGCUUGAUCUUUGGCACGACGUAGUCCUAUAGCUUGUUAUGUUUUGUGAUCCUUUUGCGUCCUCUCUGAGUGACGGGUCUCUUUGUUUGUGACCAAAAACCUAUACAUUGUUGUACAUAAUGUAGUCCUAUAGCUUGUUAUAUUUGUGAUGCUUUGCGUCCUCUCUGAGCGACGGGUCUCUUUGGUGUGACCAAGAACUUAUACAUUGUUGUACAUAUAUUACCGAAGCUGUUUCUGAUGUUCAA